rnacentral:rRNA from 1 species
UUCCUGUACUUGGUGUUACUGCGAAGGGGGGACGGAGAAGGCUAUGUUGGCCGGGCGACGGUUGUCCCGGUUUAAGCGUGUAGGCUGGUUUUCCAGGCAAAUCCGGAAAAUCAAGGCUGAGGCGUGAUGACGAGGCACUACGGUGCUGAAGCAACAAAUGCCCUGCUUCCAGGAAAAGCCUCUAAGCAUCAGGUAACAUCAAAUCGUACCCCAAACCGACACAGGUGGUCAGGUAGAGAAUACCAAGGCGCUUGAGAGAACUCGGGUGAAGGAACUAGGCAAAAUGGUGCCGUAACUUCGGGAGAAGGCACGCUGAUAUGUAGGUGAAGUCCCUUGCGGAUGGAGCUGAAAUCAGUCGAAGAUACCAGCUGGCUGCAACUGUUUAUUAAAAACACAGCACUGUGCAAACACGAAAGUGGACGUAUACGGUGUGACGCCUGCCCGGUGCCGGAAGGUUAAUUGAUGGGGUCAGCGCAAGCGAAGCUCUUGAUCGAAGCCCCGGUAAACGGCGGCCGUAACUAUAACGGUCCUAAGGUAGCGAAAUUCCUUGUCGGGUAAGUUCCGACCUGCACGAAUGGCGUAAUGAUGGCCAGGCUGUCUCCACCCGAGACUCAGUGAAAUUGAACUCGCUGUGAAGAUGCAGUGUACCCGCGGCAAGACGGAAAGACCCCGUGAACCUUUACUAUAGCUUGACACUGAACAUUGAGCCUUGAUGUGUAGGAUAGGUGGGAGGCUUUGAAGUGUGGACGCCAGUCUGCAUGGAGCCGGCCUUGAAAUACCACCCUUUAAUGUUUGAUGUUCUAACGUGGACCCGUGAUCCGGGUUGCGGACAGUGUCUGGUGGGUAGUUUGACUGGGGCGGUCUCCUCCUAAAGAGUAACGGAGGAGCACGAAGGUUGGCUAAUCCUGGUCGGACAUCAGGAGGUUAGUGCAAUGGCAUAAGCCAGCUUGACUGCGAGCGUGACGGCGCGAGCAGGUGCGAAAGCAGGUCAUAGUGAUCCGGUGGUUCUGAAUGGAAGGGCCAUCGCUCAACGGAUAAAAGGUACUCCGGGGAUAACAGGCUGAUACCGCCCAAGAGUUCAUAUCGACGGCGGUGUUUGGCACCUCGAUGUCGGCUCAUCACAUCCUGGGGCUGAAGUAGGUCCCAAGGGUAUGGCUGUUCGCCAUUUAAAGUGGUACGCGAGCUGGGUUUAGAACGUCGUGAGACAGUUCGGUCCCUAUCUGCCGUGGGCGCUGGAGAACUGAGGGGGGCUGCUCCUAGUACGAGAGGACCGGAGUGGACGCAUCACUGGUGUUCGGGUUGUCAUGCCAAUGGCACUGCCCGGUAGCUAAAUGCGGAAGAGAUAAGUGCUGAAAGCAUCUAAGCACGAAACUUGCCCCGAGAUGAGUUCUCCCUGACCCUUUAAGGGUCCUGAAGGAACGUUGAAGACGACGACGUUGAUAGGCCGGGUGUGUAAGCGCAGCGAUGCGUUGAGCUAACCGGUACUAAUGAACCGUGAGGCUUAACCUUACAACGCCGAAG